rnacentral:tRNA from 1 species
GCCCAGCUAGUUUUGUUGGUAGAGCAUGAGACUCAUAAUCUCAGGGUAGUGGGUUUGUGUCCAACUUCGGGCA